rnacentral:pre_miRNA from 1 species
AUUAUACUCCCUCCGUUUCAAAAUUCUUGUUUUAGAUUUGUCUAAAAAUGAAUGUAUCUAGUAUUUAGAUACAUCCAUAUCUAGACAAAUCUAAGACAAAAAUUUUGAGACGGAGUGAGUAUGAU